ACCUAAUAAUAAAGGAGCUAAGGUUUCUGCCAAAAUUUUCGUCCAACUUUUCGUUGGACCGUUUUGCCCUCCCACCAAAUCACUUAACAUUACACCAUGCCAUGUACCGGUUCGAUAUUUUUUUCGUCCAAUCGAAGAAAAAACAGAACCGGGCGCGGGGCGGCCUCAUGGCUUCCUCCUCUGUCCCGCACUCAAACCAGGACGCCUAAUCCCUUCCGUUUAAUUUCUUGCCUCCUCUCCACGAAGAUCCCCCAUAUAUAGCCUCUCUACUCCGCCCGUGAAUCCAACAGAAGCCCUAGAAAAAAUCCGAUUAAAUCGCUUGGAUGAACCCGCCGCGUGGAAGCUGGAGGCGGCGCCGGCGGUGCCUCAUGCGGCGAUCUAGAUAGCACGAGAGACAUCGGGGAGUGGGGAAAAGGAACCAGCGUCUCACGAGGAUGAAUAUGGCGAGUUCGGGUUGACCGGAGGAGUCACCUGGGCGAAGCCGUGGUCAACGGCGGCAUGGCCAAAGCACACAGACGGGGGGAGGAAGCUCGGGUGCGCGCGCCACCUCUUUCCUCUACUUAUACACAAGCCCCGCCGAUCUAUCCUCUCCGUUCUACUUCUUCCCUCUCGAUUUUCGAUUGGUUUUUGCCCUGCACGAUUUCGAUUGGGAAUUUGUCCUGCGCUGGAGAUAAGGAGAUUCCCUCGAUGGCGUCCAAGCAAUAAUCAAGGAGCUGAACGACCAACCUGCAGAGGGAUCCCCUGCCUCAUUCAGGAACAUGCGCACAAGCAGGGCUGCCAGCCCCUGAUCUGCUGCACUGGCUGGGGAUAUCGCCAUCUACAACACGCAGCUUGGGCGGCUAGCUGCGGUGCUGGGAAUUGGUCGACAGUGAUGAGAGCAUUGACCAUGUGGAGAAAUAAAAUUCCGGCCGAGCACAUAUGUAUUCGUCGACCUUCAAGAUGCUGGCUUCGCUGGUGAAAAAAGAGAAUCCCAAGCUGAAAUCUGUGUUGCACGUAUUGAUCUUACACAUGCAGGAGGGCAGCUGGAGGCGGAUGCCCUGCUUUCGUCGGCUGUCUCCUUACCAAUGGAACGAUGGUGCAUCUUUGAGGCUGCUGCUGUUGUUGCUUGAUCAAAUGGUUCACAUUGUCUGCGUUCCCAAUUUAGAGUACUUCUUCCUCAAAACAAGUGAAGUUUUGUCAGGUUAGCUGCUGAUCAAUGUCUCCGGCAUCCUUUCAAUUCAAAUGCCAUACAACGAGGUGUGAUCAUUACAUGGAAACCGUCUGAUUUUUUCAGUUUUCAUUCACUCGGUUAUGGAAUCAUUAUGGCUUAUGUGAAACCAUGUUGCUUUGAACUCAUAUUGCAGAGCCCUCAUUGAGCAAAGUUCAGAAAUCAUCCCGAUAUGAACUUAUGAAGUGAAUGCUGUUAGACAUUUUCAGACAAAAAAAAUAUAUGCAAUAUUGUUUGUUAAUGCAUAGAUUUUGAUUUAUUAAUGCAUUGAAAUUUGUUUC